UAAUAGAUCCCCGGGUAGGGCACGCCGUAAACGAUGUCGACUUGGAGGUUGUGCCCUUGAGGCGUGGCGUUCCGGAGCUAACGCGUUAAGUCGACCGCCUGGGGAGUACGGCCGCAAGGUUAAAACUCAAAUGAAUUGACGGGGGGCCCGCACAAGCGGUGGAGCAUGUGGUUUAAUUCGAUGCAACGCGAAGAACCUUACCUACUCUUGACAUCCAGAGAACUUAGCAGAGAUGCUUUGGUGCCUUCGGGAACUCUGAGACAGGUGCUGCAUGGCUGUCGUCAGCUCGUGUUGUGAAAUGUUGGGUUAAGUCCCGCAACGAGCGCAACCCUUAUCCUUUGUUGCCAGCGAUUCGGUCGGGAACUCAAAGGAGACUGCCAGUGAUAAACUGGAGGAAGGUGGGGAUGACGUCAAGUCAUCAUGGCCCUUACGAGUAGGGCUACACGACGUGCUACAAUGGCAUAUACAAAGAGAAGCGACCUCGCGAGAGCAAGCGGACCUCAUAAAGUAUGUCGUAGUCCGGA
rnacentral:rRNA from 1 species